AAAGCCGGGUAGAGUGUCUCAGACAGUGUCGUGUGACGGCUUUUAUUCGAUCUCGAAUACGAGCUAUUGUCCUUUCGUCUGAUACUACCUAUGUAGAUCUCCCCAGACCUACCUGCAAGACACCUGUCUGGCGACGAUUCACCGUCCGAUUUCAUCGUGCCUGGUGAAUGUAUGACGACUGAAAACUUCAGUUGAACUGUCAGGAGUAGUACGUCUUUGGGCACUUUUCAUUCCUGAAGAGAGAUAGCUUCUCACUGGAUUUCAGCAUUCAGGGAAAUUUCAGGCUAUUCGCAGCACCUACAGACAGAGGCAACUUAACCCCAAGCGGACCAUCUCGUGAAGAAACUUCUCAGUUAUCCCCAGAAGAACGUGACAGAAGAUUUAAAAAAUG